ACGAUAUCGUUUUUGAUGGCUGACGCCAACGCGUUACGUGGAAAAUGGACCAUCGCUCGCGUUGUGGAAGUGUAUUCAGUAUACCCAGUUGAAGGCUACGAACAGUAAUAUAGCAAGUGUUAAUUUAAUGUUAAUGUUUUUCAUGAGGAAAGUUCCCUCAUUGGGUGGGGAGGAUGUUUCGCCGAGCGAUGAUUUUUGCUUGGUUUAGAUUUUCUCUUUUUUGCUCUUAUAAGCUACCAUAGGUUAAGUUCGGCACUGUCGCCAUGUUCUUCAGUCAACGCAGUGCACAGUCAGAAAUGUAGUCCAGUUUGACUCAUUUACCAGUUAAUCCGUCAGUUGCCAUUCAAGUAUUCCCGACGAAGUUUUGUCCCGCCACAGAAAUCGAAUAAAUAAGCUUCACAGCUUAAUAUCUCCAUUUACGGCUGGACUCCCAAACUUCAUUUUUCCCUUUCCUCAACUAUU